CUCCGCAGGUGGUCUUUUCAUUGUUCUGCAGUGUUGCCACACUGCAGAACAUGCAGGAACCUGGUCUUGCAAGAGACUACGACCCAAAGGUUUCCAGGAAUUUCGCCAAAGUCAUGCUCACGUGGUCUAUUGUCCGAACUCACUGUCUUGAACGCCAGGGUCAAGUAGGCCUGCCAUUGCCUACUUUCAAGAUUACGAAAAGAAAGAAGCGGUCUUAUGAAAUUCAAAUGAACUGAACGGCUCCAAUAUUUGUGUGCAAAAUGAUUACAGUCGGUGCACACUGCACAAGGGCAGCCUACUUUGGGAAAGUGCAAAAACCAAACGCGACAGCAAGAAACGGGUCACUUUUAUCCACGACAAGAUGAAAACUGAUGGUAAACUCUUUUUUGUGGGAUGAACAAAAAAAUGCACGUGUGGCUCUUCAUCCGCAAGCUACAGGCUCAGAAUGAUGCUCUCGGUAAACUGCUUUCAAAGAAGUGAGUGCUUAACAUAAAUGUGCAAAGUUUGUCGAAUAAAGUUCAUAAGCUCGAAUGCCUCCUACUUGCAAACGAUCCUCAUAUUACAGUAAUUACACAAACCUGGCUGCACGAAGGUAUAAAGGAUUCAGUUCCAAUUCCUCCAACCUACCGAAUUUUCAGAUGUGACCGGCGAGGAGGUAGUAUAGCAAUAGUUCUUACAGAUGCCAUUCGUUCUCUGCUCCUAGAACAAUAUCAUGACCACGAAAGUUUAUUUCUUAAAAUAAACUGCUGGGGUUAUUCCUUCACUGUCUGUGCCGUCUGCAGACCACCUUUAGCAAGGCCCGAAUAUCUAAGUUAUAUGACCACAUGUACCUGUUCAAAAAUGAUCGUCUGGUUCUUGCAGGCGAUGUUAACUUACCCAAUGUUCACUGGCGCGUUCAAGAUUCUGGCUCUGACAUAAUUCUGAACCUGCUUGCUGACAUUGCUUUGAUGUGUGAUCUUGUACAGACUGUUACCGAGUGCACCAGAGAGGCUGGCAAUGACCGUUCUGCACUCGACUUAGUGUUUUUAAAUUCUAAUCUAUCUAGUUAUGCAGGCUUCGUUGAAGAUGGCAUCUCUGAUCAUAAAGCAGUAUUUUUAUCCUUCUGUAUUCGUGAGAAAAAAAGGUGCACAGGCAGGAAACAAGACAUGUUGUUAAGGAUUAUUCGAAGGCUGACGACCAGGCCAUUUUGGGUCAUCUGUGGCUUUUAUGUGAUAAUCUUCCUGAUAAUGUGUCCACUGUUUGGAAUGAAAUGAGAACUCCCAUACAUUACUGCAUAAGUUUGUGCCGAGCAAACAUAUCAGGAAAAAUAGAAAUAAACCAUGGGUUACUAGAGAUAUAAUAAAUACAUUUGCACUGCAGGCUAAAAUGUGCCAGAAAGAAGAAGAAAAAAAAAAAAACCCGCUGUGGACUUACUUCAUUGAGGAAACAGCUUGCAGCUCGGAUAACCGAAGCCAAGAUUAGCUACCUCAA